AGUGAACGCUGGCGGUAGGCCUAACACAUGCAAGUCGAACGGCAGCACAGGAGAGCUUGCUCUCUAGGUGGCGAGUGGCGGACGGGUGAGGAAUACAUCGGAAUCUGCCCAGUCGUGGGGGAUAACGUAGGGAAACUUACGCUACUACCGCAUACGACCUUCGGGUGAAAGAGGGGGAUCGCAAGACCUCUCGCGAUUGGAUGAGCCGAUGUCGGAUUAGCUAGUUAGCGGGGUAAUGGCCCACCAAGGCGACGAUCCGUAGCUGGUCUGAGAGGAUGAUCAGCCACACUGGAACUGAGACACGGUCCAGACUCCUACGGGAGGCAGCAGUGGGGAAUAUUGGACAAUGGGCGCAAGCCUGAUCCAGCCAUACCGCGUGGGUGAAGAAGGCCUUCGGGUUGUAAAGCCCUUUUGUUGGGAAAGAAAUCUUUCAGGCUAAUACCCUGGGAGGAUGACGGUACCCAAAGAAUAAGCACCGGCUAACUUCGUG
rnacentral:rRNA from 1 species